AGUUUAUACCUUUAGUAGAAGCACUUGAAAUCCAGUUUUAAAAUCAUGACUGGAUUUCAAGUGCUUCUACUAAAGGUAUAAAC
rnacentral:miRNA from 1 species